rnacentral:lncRNA from 1 species
CAGAAACAAGUGGAGUUGGCAGAAAACUCUGACUGCUGGUCCUGGACAGGUCAGCAGCGAGGACAUGUGCAGGCUAAGGGAGGCGAAUCCAGACAUGCGUGUGCUCAGUCAUUAUGUUGAGAUUUGUCAACAAUUUGAAGACAUCACUAGAAGAUCACAGAAAGAGGACUGCAGGUCCGUGACUCCGAGAAGCUAACAGCAGAACUUUUCCUUCCUUGAUUUUCUUUGGAUGCGCCGGAU